UACGUAGGGUGCGAGCGUUAAUCGGAAUUACUGGGCGUAAAGUGUGCGCAGGCGGCAGAGCAAGUCGAGUGUGAAAGCCCCGGGCUUAACUUGGGAAUUGCGCUCGAAACUACUUUGCUGGAGUGAGGCAGAGGAAGGUGGAAUUCCACGUGUAGCGGUGAAAUGCGUAGAGAUGUGGAGGAACACCAAUGGCGAAGGCAGCCUUCUGGGCCAACACUGACGCUCAUGCACGAAAGCGUGGGGAGCAAACAGG
rnacentral:rRNA from 1 species